rnacentral:rRNA from 1 species
CCCGCACAAGCAGCGGAGCGUGUGGUUUAAUUCGAUGCUACACGAAGAACCUUUACCAGGGUUUGACAUGCAAGUGGUAGGAACCGAAAGGUGACCGACCCUUCGGGAGCUUGCACAGGUGCUGCAUGGCUGUCGUCAGCUCGUGUCGUGAGAUGUUCGGUUAAGUCCGCUAACGAGCGCAACCCUCGCUGUGUGUUAUAUGUGUCACACGGGACUGCCGGUCUUAAGCCGGAGGAAGGUGGGGAUGAUGUCAAGUCAGCAUGGCCUUUAUAUCCUGGGCUACACACACGCUACAAUGGCCAGCACAGUAGGUUGCUAAGCCGCGAGGUGGAGCCAAUCCUGAAAGCAGGCCUCAGUUCAGAUUGCAGUCUGCAACUCGACUGCAUGAAGCCGGAGUUGCUAGUAACCGCAGGUCAGCAAUACUGCGGUGAAUACGUUCCCGGGUCUU